UACAGAGGGGGCAAGCGUUGUUCGGAAUUACUGGGCGUAAAGGGCGCGUAGGCGGCCUGUUAAGUCGAACGUGAAAUCCCCGGGCUCAACCCGGGAACUGCGUCCGAUACUGGCAGGCUUGAAUCCGGGAGAGGGAUGCGGAAUUCCAGGUGUAGCGGUGAAAUGCGCAGAUAUCGGGAGGAACACCAGUGGCGAAGGCGGCACUCUGGGCCGGAACUGACGCUGAGGAGCGAAAGCGUGGGGAGCGAACAGG
rnacentral:rRNA from 1 species